AGCGAACGUUAGCGGCGGGCCUAACACAUGCAAGUCGAACGCGAAAGGUCUUCGGACUGAGUAGAGUGGCGCACGGGUGAGUAACACGUAGGUAAUCUACCCUUUGGCGGGGGAUAACGUUCCGAAAGGAGCGCUAAUACCGCAUAAGACCACGGAGUCUCCGGACGCUGUGGGAAAAGGUGGCCUCUUCUUGAAAGCUACCACCGAAGGAUGAGCCUGCGUCCCAUCAGCUAGUUGGUAAGGUAAUGGCUUACCAAGGCGAAGACGGGUAGCUGGUUUGAGAGAAUGAUCAGCCACACUGGCACUGGAACACGGGCCAGACUCCUACGGGAGGCAGCAGUGAGGAAUAUUGGGCAAUGGGCGAAAGCCUGACCCAGCCACGCCGCGUGAGUGAUGAAGGCCUCGGGUCGUAAAGCUCUGUGGAGAGGGACGAAAACCCUGGUUUCAAAUAGGCUCCAGGCUUGACGGUACCUCUUUAGCAAGCACCGGCUAACUCUGUGCCAGCAGCCGACGG
rnacentral:rRNA from 1 species